AUAUGAUGCAGGCCUGCACGUCAAAAAAUUAGGUGGGUCCGGGUUCCGCAAGGCCUGGGUGUCAGUGAACCUCCACCUUGGUAAAAGUCUCGUGGGCCUCCACAGCCUGCGGGAUCAGUUGUCAGGUUGAGUCCUGUAAAGGGCUGCGUGAGGCCUAGUGCGGUACCCCCCUCACCCCUCCCAAGGCAAGUUGCAAGGGGGCUAGAUCCACUCCCGUAUUAGCCUCCUCGACAAUUUAGAGUAGGCCACUGACAUGCAACAUAGGGUAACAUAAUAUUGCGGCUUGUCUGGAGCCUACAAUGAAAACAGGAAUGGAGGCCUGGCUGAAAAGGGGGGCAAGACAGGGCAGGUUUCGAUGUAAGUCCUCUGAGCGUUCCAGUCAGAGUACGAAAAAGGGGGGAUAGUGUCGGCCUUCAUGCCAGCGAGGGGAAAGCCCUCGAAACCCCCCCAGAAGGAUGCCAUGUGUAGCUCUGGGGGGGGGGUGGAGGGGUGCAAAGCGAUAGUUUAAAACUGAUCAGUCUCCGUGGAGUGUGAGGUGGGGUUUAAGGCGGUGGAUGGUGUUGUGUAAUGUAUGUAUUAUACGAUACCCAUAGGUCUUCAGCGAUGGCCUCUAGCUCCGACUUCUUGCCACUCUGUCUGUAGUUGUUUAAGUUCGGUAGGAUACAGAGAGAUAUCUGGAAGUCGGGGGGGUGGUUGUAGACCGAGAUUCCUAAAGAAUCGUUGGGAAUCCCCUCCCGGCAUCAGGAUAUGUGAGCGGUCUCCCCGGAACACCAUCAGCUUGAAGGGGAAUCCCCAGGCAUAUUUCAGGCCUGCGUCUCGUAGGGCUGUUGUGAUAGGCCUCCACUCCCGUCGUCUUUGAAGUGUCGACGGUGCCAGAUCCUGGUAUAAGGAUAGUGUGGCCCCUGCGUACCGUAACGGUGCAUCCCGGCUUUUCCCCAUCAGCGCUUCCUUCGUGCUAUAGUAUAGGAAGCGGACGAUUACGUCCCGCGGGGUGUUGGUGUCGAUCUUUUGAGGUCUCAGGGCUCUAUGUGCCCUUUCCAUGUGCCACUGUUCCUCCGAUAAGGCGGGCAGGAGAGGCUUUAGAGCGGAUAGUAGUAUCCCCUUCAAAUCUUCAUCUUUCUCCUCGGGGAGACCCCGAAUGCGGAGGUUAUUUCUCCGUGACCGGUUGGCCAUGUCUUCCAAUGUUAG